rnacentral:rRNA from 1 species
AGUGAACGCUGGCGGCGUGCUUAACACAUGCAAGUCGAACGAGAACGGAUUAUAGCUUGCUAUAAUUGUCAGCUAAGUGGCGCACGGGUGAGUAAUGUAUAGGUAAUAUGCUUCUUACUAAGGGAUAACAAAUGGAAACGUUUGCUAAUACCUUAUACUCCUUAUUAACAUAAGUUAAUAAGGUAAAGAUUUAUUGGUAAGAGAUUAGCCUGUAUUGUAUCAGUUAGUUGGUGGGGUAAUGGCUUACCAAGACUAUGACACAUAACUGGUUUGAGAGGAUGAUCAGUCACACUGGAACUGAGACACGGUCCAGACUCCUACGGGAGGCAGCAGUGGGGAAUAUUGCACAAUGGACGAAAGUCUGAUGCAGCAACGCCGCGUGGAGGAUGACACAUUUCGGUGCGUAAACUCCUUUUAUAUGAGAAGAUAAUGACGGUAUUAUAUGAAUAAGCACCGGCUAACUCCGUGCCAGCCGCCGCAGUAA